GGACUACGAGGGUAUCUAAUCCUGUUUGAUCCCCUUACUUUCGCGCCUCAGCGUCAGGUUUAAGCUAGAAAACCGCCUUCGCCACCGGUGUUCUUCCACAUAUCUACGCAUUUCACCGCUACUUGUGGAAUUCCGUUUUCUCCGCCUACCCUCUAGACAUGCAGUUUCAAAUGCUGUUCCGGGGUUGAGCCCCGGGAUUUCACAUCUGACUUACUUGUCCGCCUACGCGCCCUUUACGCCCAAUAAAUCCGAUUAAUGCUUGCACCCUCCGUAUUACCGCGGCUGCUGACAC
rnacentral:misc_RNA from 1 species